rnacentral:tRNA from 1 species
GGCCUAUCGGUCCAGUCUGGAGUGGACACCGCCCUGUCACGGCGGAGAGCACGGGUUCAAAUCCCGUAUAGGUCG